rnacentral:rRNA from 1 species
AUUGAACGCUGGCGGCAGGCUUAACACAUGCAAGUCGAGCGGAGAUGAGGUGCUCGCACCUUAUCUUAGCGGCGGACGGGUGAGUAAUGCUUAGGAAUCUGCCUAUUAGUGGGGGACAACAUUCCGAAAGGAAUGCUAAUACCGCAUACGUCCUACGGGAGAAAGCAGGGGAUCUUCGGACCUUGCGCUAAUAGAUGAGCCUAAGUCGGAUUAGCUAGUUGGUGGGGUAAAGGCCUACCAAGGCGACGAUCUGUAGCGGGUCUGAGGGGAUGAUCCGCCACACUGGGACUGAGACACGGCCCAGAAUCCUACGGGAGGCAGCAGUGGGGAAUAUUGGACAAUGGGGGGAACCCUGAUCCAGCCAUGCCGCGUGUGUGAAGAAGGCCUUAUGGUUGUAAAGCACUUUAAGCGAGGAGGAGGCUACUGAGACUAAUACUCUUGGAUAGUGGACGUUACUCGCAGAAUAAGCACCGGCUAACUCUGUGCCAGCAGCCGCCGUAA